rnacentral:rRNA from 1 species
GCGCAGCAGGCGAGAAACCUCCGCAAUGCGGGAAACCGUGACGGGGUCACCCCGAGUGCCUCCCGAUAAGGGAGGCUUUUCCCCGCUGUAAACAGGCGGGAGAAUAAGCGGGGGCAAGUCUGGUGUCAGCCGCCGCGGUAAUACCAGCCCCGCGAGUGGUCGGGACGGUUAUUGGGCCUAAAGCGCCCGUAGCCGGCCCGGCAAGUCCCCGCGUAAAGCCCCGGGGCUUAACCCGGGGAAUUGCGGGGAUACUACCGGGCUAGGGGGCGGGAGAGGCCGAGGGGUACUCCCGGGGUAGGGGCGAAAUCCUGUAAUCCCGGGAGGACCACCAGUGGCGAAGGCGCUCGGCUGGAACGCGCCCGACGGUGAGGGGCGAAAGCCGGGGGAGCAAACCGGAUUAGAUACCCGGGUAGU